GAUGAACGCUGGCGGCGUGCCUAAUACAUGCAAGUCGAGCGAACAGACGAGGAGCUUGCUCCUCUGACGUUAGCGGCGGACGGGUGAGUAACACGUGGAUAACCUACCUAUAAGACUGGGAUAAAUUCGGGAAACCGGAGCUAAUACCGGAUAAUAUAUUGAACCGCAUGGUUCAAUAGUGAAAGACGGCUUUGCUGUCACUUAUAGAUGGAUCCGCGCCGCAUUAGCUAGUUGUUAAGGUAACGGCUUACCAAGGCGACGAUGCGUAGCCGACCUGAGAGGGUGAUCGGCCACUCUUGCACUGAUACAUCGACCAGACUCCUAUGGGAGGCACCAGUAGGGAAUGUUUCGCAAUGGGCGAAAGCCUGACGGAGCGACGCCGCGUGAGUGAUAGAGGUCUUCGGAUCGUAAAACUAUGUUACUAGUGAAACACAAAUGUGUAAGUAACUAUGCACGUCUUGACGGUACCUAAUCAGAAAGCCACGGCUAACUACGUG
rnacentral:rRNA from 1 species